rnacentral:lncRNA from 1 species
CCUUAACACUUAGCAAAAAAUGCUGGCCAAGGAAACAUAGAUUAGGUUGAAUCAAGGCCCUGAUUUUGAGAUGUUUUAUUCAGGUGAUCCAAUGGAAGGUUAAAUUCAUCUCAUCUCCUCAGAGUUUUCAUAGCAGAUCCAUGUGCACUGUAUCACCUUUUAUAAGUAUGUGAUGUGGCCACAGUCCAGCCCUCAUUAGCUAAAGUUUGGUCUUGUAUCCCAUACCUUCCCUAUGACAUGGUCAGUCUCCAUUGGUCUCUGAUUCCUGUAUCUCAGAGUCUGUGGCUGUAAAGGUAGUGAGAUGAUUGUGCAUGUUCUCAGGACUGUGACAUUUGGCUCAAUGCUAGGAAGACCUCAGCAAACACUUCUUAAUGGUUUGUGAAGGUAGAAGGGUGGGACAACCCUCAUUUACCUUUACCACCUUCACAAGGCUGAUUUUUAAACUUCUUCCUUUUGAGGCUGCCUUCCAUCUUCCUUUGUACUUUAUUUUCUUGGAUUUGGCAUAUUGGAAGCAGGGGGUGGGGCAAAGGUUCUGAAUGUUAUUUACCAUCUUCUGCCCCAGGGCGCAUCUCCCACAGAAAAAUAUCAACCAGCCUGGAGGAAGGAGAUCAGUGCAAGACUCUUGAGAGCUUUGCCACACAAUGCCCAUUCACUAAGAUGGUAUCAACACAUCCAUCCUAAUAAACACUGGUCGUUCUAGGUCCAGGCUAUGUGGGAGUGACCGUGGCUUGCAAGAUGACGCCAACAUUUUCUGAGGGGCCUAACCUGCCAUUAGGUGACUCAGUGCAUUUCCUACCACAUCAGCCAGGAGGCAGGGACAAAAGCUGUAGCCUUUAUUUUUUCCUCUUGGGGUGGGACUGUUCUGCCUUGGCACCAGGACUGCAGGAAAGCCUUCAUUAAUCACCUCCCUGCCUGGUGAUCUCAUCAGCCAGAGCAG